ACGAAUGGUACGACGGUCAAUACCCGUCGUAAGUGACGGUACCGUAAGAGAAAGCCACGGCUAACUACGUGCCAGCAGCCGCGGUAAUACGUAGGUGGCAAGCGUUGUCCGGAAUUAUUGGGCGUAAAGGGCGCGCAGGCGGCGUCGUAAGUCGGUCUUAAAAGUGCGGGGCUUAACCCCGUGAGGGGACCGAAACUGCGAUGCUAGAGUAUCGGAGAGGAAAGCGGAAUUCCUAGUGUAGCGGUGAAAUGCGUAGAUAUUAGGAGGAACACCAGUGGCGAAAGCGGCUUUCUGGACGACAACUGACGCUGAGGCGCGAGAGCCAGGGGAGCAAACGGGAUUAGAUACCCCGGUAGUCCUGGCCGUAAACGAUGGAUACUAGAUGUAGGAGGUAUCGACCCCUUCUGUGCCGGAGUUAACGCAAUAAGUAUCCCGCCUGGGGAGUACGGCCGCAAGGCUGCAACUCAAAUGAAUUGACGG
rnacentral:rRNA from 1 species